rfam:Dipodomys ordii contig_4675, whole genome shotgun sequence.
GGUGGCUCAGUGGUAGAGUGCUUGCUUUGCAUGCAAGAGGCCCUGGGUUCGAUUCCUCAGCACCA